rnacentral:rRNA from 1 species
UACGUAGGGUGCAAGCGUUGUCCGGAAUUAUUGGGCGUAAAGAGCUUGUAGGCGGUUUGUCGCGUCUGCUGUGAAAUUUCGGGGCUCAACCCCGAACUUGCAGUGGGUACGGGCAGACUAGAGUGUGGUAGGGGAGACUGGAAGUUCCUGGUGUAGCGGUGAAAUGCGCAGAUAUCGGGAGGAACACCAAUGGCGAAGGCAGCUUGCUGGGACGGUACUGACGCUGAGGCGC